UACGUAGGGUGCGAGCGUUGUCCGGAAUCAUUGGGCGUAAAGAGCGUGUAGGCGGUCCCGAUAAGUUCCGCUAGGUGAAAAGUCCGAGGGCUCACCCCUGGAAUGGCCGGUGGAUACUGUCGGGCUCGAAUCCGGGAAGAGGUGAGUGGAAUUCCUGGUGUAGCGGUAGAAAUGCGCAGAUAUCAGGAGGAACACCAAUGGCGAAGGCAGGCUCACUGGGAACGGUAUUGACGCUGAGACGACGAAAGCGUGGGGAGCAAACAGG
rnacentral:rRNA from 1 species